UUUCUUCUUCUUCCACUAAACUUCGGUAGUCUUUCUAAGAUGCCUUUGUUUGAUGUUUUUCUUUUAAUUUUUGUAGUCAUUUCCUUUUCUUUUCUUUUUUAACUUGCUCUUAGAGCAUUUUUGGUUUCUCUUUUGUGCAUAGUUUUGUUUUGUUUUUACUUAAGACUUGUAUGUUCAAAUUCUUAGGUAUUUUUGAUGUAUUCUUUCUUAGCCUCUGAUUGUAUAACCAAAGAAAUUUCCUUGGUUAAUUGGAUGUAUCAAAUGAAUCAAAUGAAAAAAUAAAUAUCAAGUCAAGAGGAUUGUG
rnacentral:lncRNA from 1 species